rnacentral:rRNA from 1 species
GAUGAACGCUAGCGGCAGGCCUAAUACAUGCAAGUCGAACGGUGUAGCAAUACACAGUGGCACACGGGUGCGUAACACGUAUGCAACCUACCUUACAUUGGGGGAUAGCCUUUCGAAAGGGAGAUUAAUACCGCAUAAGACAGUAACUAGGCAUCUAGUAGCUGUUAAAGAUUUAUCGAUGUAUGCUGGGCAUGCGUCCAAUUAGUUAGUUGGCGAGGUAAUGGCUCACCAAGACGAUGAUUGGUAGGGGAACUGAGAGGUCAAUCCCCCACACUGGCACUGAGAUACGGGCCAGACUCCUACGGGAGGCAGCAGUAGGGAAUAUUGGGCAAUGGGCGCAAGCCUGACCCAGCCAUGCCGCGUGCAGGAAGAAGGCGUUAUGCGUUGUAAACUGCUUUUAUACAGGAAGAAACGACCCUUGCGAGGGGCAUUGACGGUACUGUAUGAAUAAGCACCGGCUAACUCCGUGCCAGCAGCCGCAGUAAAAC